rnacentral:rRNA from 1 species
CUACGGGCGGCUCCAGUGAGGAAUAUUGCACAAUGGGGGGAACCCUGAUGCAGCAACGCCGCGUGGAGGAUGACGCAUUUCGGCGUGUAAACUCCUUUUAUAUGUCAAGAAAAUGACGGUAGCAUAUGAAUAAGCACCGGCUAACUCCGUGCCAGCAGCCGCGGUAAUACGGAGGGUGCAAGCGCUACUCGGAAUCACUGGGCGUAAAGGACGCGUAGGCGGGUUGGAAAGUCAGGUGUGAAAUCCUACAGCUUAACUGUAGAACUGCACUUGAAACUUCUAAUCUAGAGUAUGGGAGGGGGAGAUGGAAUUAGUGGUGUAGGGGUAAAAUCCGUAGAUAUCACUAGGAAUACCUAAAGCGAAGGCGAUCUCCUGGAACAUUACUGACGCUAAGGCGUGAAAGCGUGGGGAGCAAACAGGAUUAGAUACCCCCGUAGUC